UUUUUUUUUUUUUUUUUUUUUUUUUUUUUUUUUCUGUC
rnacentral:ribozyme from 14 species